CCUAACACAUGCAAGUCGAACGGGAAAGGUCGAAAGACUGAGUAGAGUGGCGGACGGGUGAGUAAAAUAUAGGUAUCUGCCCUUUAGAGGAGAAUACCAUCGAGAAAUCGGUGUUAAUACUGCAUAAGCCCAGAGAUGGGGAAAGGUGGCCUCAAAGCUACCGCUAAAGGAUGAGCCUGUAACCUAUUAGCUAGUUGGUGGGGUAAGAGCCUACCAAGGCAAAGAUGGGUAACCGGCCUGAGAGGGUGUACGGUCACACUGGAACUGAGACACGGUCCAGACUCCUACGGGAGGCAGCAGUGGGGGAUAUUGCACAAUGGGCGCAAGCCUGAUGCAGCGACGCCGCGUGGAGGAUGAAGGUUUUCGGAUUGUAAACUCCUGUUACGUGGGAAAAAAUGCCCUGUUUGAAUAAAGCAGGGAGCUGAUGGUACCACGAGAGAAAGCACCGGCAAACUUCGUGCCAGCAGCCGCGGUAAUACGAAGGGUGCAAGCGUUAUUCGGAAUAACUGGGUGUAAAGCGCGUGAAGGCGGUUUUAUAAGUCAUUUGUAAAAGAGCUCGGCUUAACUGAGCAACUGCAGACGAUACUGUAGAACUAGAGUGCAGGAGAGAAAGGUAGAAUUCUCGGAGUAGCGGUAAAAUGCGUAGAUCUCGAGAGGAAUACCGGUUGCGAAGGCGGCCUUUUGGCCUGUAACCGACGCUCAAGCGCGAAAGCGUGGGUAGCAAACAGGAUUAGAUACCCUGGUAGUCCACGCUGUAAACGAUGAUCACUAGAUGUAGGUUUCGCAAUGCGAGAUCUGUGUCGUAGCUAACGCGUUAAGUG
rnacentral:rRNA from 1 species